GGAAGGGGGGAUCUGGCUGUGUUAUCUGUCAUCUCUCUGGUGGCUAGGGUUGAUCUGGCUGACUGGGCUGGCUAGACAGGCAUCCUCUUCCUCAUUGUUUCAUGUGUGUCCCUCCUGUAGCUACAUGCACGGUGGUAGAAGACAACCUUCCCCAAAUAGAGGAGCACCAGUGUUGGGGCAAAAGAUGUAAGAGUACAUGCGCUUUCUGGCUAGAACCCCCAAAUAACCUCUCAAGCUCCAGGGAAGGGGGAGGUGUCUAAAAACACAAGCAGGAUGGAAAGCUCCACUAACAGUGCCAUCACUGAAAAGGUCCAUGGU
rfam:Cricetulus griseus cell line CHO-K1, whole genome shotgun sequence.